AACGAACGCUGGCGGCAUGCCUAACACAUGCAAGUCGUACGAGACCUUCGGGUCUAGUGGCGCACGGGUGCGUAACGCGUGGGAACCUGCCCUUAGGUUCGGAAUAACUCCCCGAAAGGGGUGCUAAUACCGGAUAAUGUCUUCGGACCAAAGAUUUAUCGCCUUUGGAUGGGCCCGCGUUGGAUUAGCUAGUUGGUAGGGUAAAAGCCUACCAAGGCGACGAUCCAUAGCUGGUCUGAGAGGAUGAUCAGCCACACUGGGACUGAGACACGGCCCAGACUCCUACGGGAGGCAGCAGUGGGGAAUAUUGGACAAUGGGCGAAGGCCUGAUCCAGCAAUGCCGCGUGAGUGAUGAAGGCCUUAGGGUUGUAAAGCUCUUUUACCCGGGAUGAUAAUGACAGUACCGGGAGAAUAAGCUCCGGCUAACUCCGUG
rnacentral:rRNA from 1 species